AUGAACGAAUAUAUGGGGGGUUACUGUCUCAAUGGGGUUACUUGAAAUUAGUACGAAAGUGCAAAUACUUUCAAGUCUAAAAUAGACGAGAAGACCCUAGAAACUUGUUUAUUACUUUUGCUGGGGCGGCAGAAUUACAUCUAAACUAAUUUUAAUUUACGUGACGCAUAGCUGUAAGUCUAAGUUACUCUAGGGAUAACAGCAUAAUUCUAUUUAUUUGUGACCUCGAUGUUGGACUAG
rnacentral:rRNA from 1 species